AUGAGUAUUAAGAUUGUUCCACCUGCCACUGGGGAGGGGAGAUUGGCGCUCCAACAGGCACUGGCAUCGCUUCGUCAGCAGGACCAGGAACCACGGUCCUAUGCCCAAUUCUUUUGGACCAUGGCUAGGGGCCUUGAAUAUGAUGAUGCCGCCCUGAAGGAGGCCUUCAACCUCACUCUGGAUGACCCCUUACCUCGAUGGGAGAUGGAGCAACUGCAUGUUUUGAAUUUCUGGGACUUCUCUAAUUAUGUGCAUCACCGCAAGGACUGGCAGAUCCUUAAUCCUCCAGAUGAUAUCAGUAGUGACCACCAACCUGCCCUCCUUCCCUCUUCGAGUCAAGUCCACAAUCAUCUUCUGACUCCCACUGAGAAACGAAGGGACAGAAGGAAGCGGGCGGCCCAAGUCGCUGUAUCUGCCAUCGAGUCCUCCGUGCCGGCUCCAGCCUCUGAGAGCAGUUCAGUGCCAGCUCCUGCCUCUGAGUCAGUGAAGCCCUCUGAAGCAGUCAAGGUAGCUUUGAGAGAAGUUUCCCAGUCAACCUCUGUUCCGGUGUCUGUCAAGUCUUUUCCAGUUAAGUCAAAGCCAGUCAUGUCCAGUUUGGAUAAUCCUGUGUUUAUGUCAGUUCAAGUAACUCAAGAAGUGAGCAUGCCGACAACGUCCUGCCCUGGGAGGCGUAAGGGUAGGAGGUCCCGUGCCAGGAGGGCUAGAACCCUUUGCUCAGAGACCCCUCAUAUACUUACCCUGGAUGAUCUCACGUCGCCUGCUGCUCCUGUUAUGGCCAUGGAGGCAGGUUCUGAGCAGUAUGUUUUUCCUGCCAUGGUUACAGAUGUCAGUCCUGAGCUGCCCCCUCUCUCUGUCACCUUCACUCAUGUCAGGCCUGAGCAGUCCACUCCUGACACUACCAUGGAGACCACUCCUAAGCAGCCCACUAUCCCAGUCAGAUCUAUGGAGGCCAUUCUCAAGCCAUCAGCCCCCACAGGCACUGAAUAUGCUUUCGCCCUGGAGCCUCCAGAAUCUGCUCGAGCCCCUGACCAGAGUCUAGUGUUGGCUCUAGGUCUAGAGUCUGCUUCAUCCCAGUUCAAUCCAAAGUCUGUUUCAGAGUCAGCUUCGGUACCAGUCCAGGAGUUCAUUCCUGAAGACCCAGUUCCUGCAGCCACAGAGGGCAGUCAGGCGUCAGCAUCAGUCAUUCAAGAAUCUGUCCCGGAGUCUGUUCCUGUGGCCCCAGAGGGCAGUUCAGAAGUCCCAGAGGGUGUUCCUGAGACUGUCUUUGAGCCAGUUCCAGCUCUGGAGAGCAGUUUAGCAGCCCCCGAGGGCAGUCAAGAGCCAGUUUCCGGGUCAAUUUUCAUAGCCCCAGAGGGCAGUUUGUCAGCCUCCAGGGGCAGUCAAGAGUUGGUUCCUGAGCCUAUUCCUGCAGCCCAGGAGGGCACUUCAUCAGGUCCCAAUGACUGUCCAGAGUCAAUAUUUGAACUUGGUCCAGAGGCCCCUAAGGGCAUCCCUGUUAUAGCCCCAGAGCCCACUCCAGACUCUGCUCCUGCUACAGAAGCAGUUCUUGUCAGUUUUGUCACAUCCUUAGAGGCCAACCCUGAAAGUCUUGUCAGUCAUGUAAAGCCCACAGAAAGUAACCUUAUCUCUCAUGCUGUACCUUCGAAAACUGUCCCUGUUCCGGCCAAGGAGGUCCUUCCCGAGAGCCCUGAACUUCUCAUUGAAGCCACCUCAGAAUCCCUUGCUAGUCAUGUCUUGCCUACCAAGAAUAUCCUGGAGUUUGCCCAUAAUGCUAAGUUCAGUAGGAGACCUUCGCCAGUGAAAUGUGUUGGUAGAGGUGCCACCAACUAUGCCCCCACCCUUAUCCCACCCGCUGUCUGUCCCGGUCUCCAAGGUUUCCCUAAGCAGGUACCACCCUGGUCAGUCCUAAGCCAUUCCCCUGGAACAUUUUCUGCCCUCCCCAUCCCACCCCCUGUGUUUCCUGACAGGCUUGGACUUCCAUGGGUCCCUUCCCACCCGCCCCCCCAGUCGGUACCAUUUUGGCCCCCUACCAACCCUGUGCCCCAUUUAACUCCACCCAGGAUGGACGCCUGGAGGCGUCCUUUGGAGGGGGGGUACUGUCAGGAUCCUGCCCUGACAGUCUUGUCUGUCCUGUCUUUGUUUAAUGUGUCUCUGUUUAUAUUGUGCCUGAGCACAUGGUUGUGUCUUUGUUUAUGUUGGCCGUGUGCUCCUCUUGUCCUACCUCCUCGUUUUCAAUCACCACGCCCCCUUGUUUAG
rnacentral:lncRNA from 12 species